CAGCAUGAUGCCAUCCAUCAACGGGAGCACCCGGAGGACUUCACCAUUUAAAGAUAAUUUCUCUUCCAUUUAGAUUUUGUACGGGACAUCUUCCAUGACAUCGGCAAACGACUUUGGUCUAGGCCACCAGAUGUUGGGGGUUAAAAAUCUCAGUGACCACCCAGGCCCUGGUGGCCAGAUGCCCAACAAGUAGCUCCUGUUGGCCAGAAGACCUUUGUAGAGUCCUGUGCUGCUUGAGACAUGGCUACACAUGAUGACUUCACCACAGCCAAGUUCCAGAUUCCUGUAGCAAUUUAUUGUGGCAGCGUUCCCCGAUCCAGUGCCAGCUCUGGGUUCUGCACCUUCCGUGGUCGAAAUAGAAACAUCAA